UUGCUCCCCUGAUACCAGUCUUCACUGGGAUCCCACUCCCUGUUCCUCUUUCCUGCAGGGAAAUUCACUCCUGUGGAGCCUGGGCUGGGCCAUCGCGGUGACAGCACUGUCACCUGGAUCCUCAUCGGAUCCUCACUGCACCUCUGAGAGCAGAGCCGCCUUCACACCAGCUGCACACAGCCUCCUGUUGGCUUGUUCCUGGGGCUUAAACCUAACUGAGCAGUGUUGUUCUAAGUUGCAGAGGUCAGUAUUUACACUAAAGCUGCUUCUUUUCAGCAAGUUGUGUUGCUUGCACAGAAUAUCUUCCAAGUGUUUACACUCAGAUGAGUGAUGAGCUGGGCUGGGCCCCAUCUCCCUGUCAGUGACAAUCGGUGAUAAGAGACUUGUUCUGUCACAGCCCUGCUUCCAAACCACGUGUAGUCCCAGCCAGCUCUCCUGCCUGUGGCUGCACCAUGCUCAGCCUCUGCUGCUUAGCUCCUCUGUCUCCGAAGGCUGCUAAACCCACUCUUGACUUACAUUACCUGUUAAACAUAAAAAAUUAGAAAAGCUUUUCUCUAU
rnacentral:lncRNA from 1 species